UACGAAAGGGGGCUAGGCGUUGCUCGGAAUCACUGGGCGUAAAGCGCACGUAGGCGGAUCUUUAAGUCAGGGGUGAAAUCCCAAGGCUCAACCCUUGGAACUGCCUUUGAUACUGGGGAUCUCGAGUCCGGAAGAGGUUGGUGGAACGUGCGAGUGUAGAGGUGAAAUUCGUAGAUAUUCGCAAGAACACCAGUGGCGAAGGCGGACCAACUCGGUCCGGUAUGACGCUGAGGUGCGAAAGCGUGGGGAGCAAACAGGG
rnacentral:rRNA from 1 species